AACUUUAUUGAUAAAGCGUGGGCGCGUGCUGUCAACUACGAACCUGCAGUUUUUAGUUUAACGUGUUUUGUAUUUUUGGUUAUUUUUGUAAUUACGAAUUUAAUAUUUCAGAUAUUAGUAUUUUAUUUUAAAUAGAAUUCUAGAGGAGAAGAGAGAGAGAGUAUUUAAGGGAGGAAUCUAUUGUGAAAAAGGGGGAUUU
rnacentral:lncRNA from 1 species